UUGCGACCACAUCGCGUUUAUACCGAAGUUCCCGUAUGAUCACCGAAGUUAAGCAACGUUGAGCCAGUAACUAGUCAAUAACUAGAUGGGUGACCGCUUGGGAAUACCAGGUGCUGUAAG